rnacentral:tRNA from 1 species
GGUCAGGUGGUGGAACUUGGUAGACACAAGGGACUUAAAAUCCCUUGAUCCUUGCGGUCGUGCGGGUUCAAUUCCCGCCCUGGGCA